rnacentral:rRNA from 2 species
GCGGUGCAGUACCUAGUUGGUGUGGUAACGGCUCACCAAGGCAACGAUGCAUAGCCGACCUGAGAGGGUGAUCGGCCACACUGGGACUGAGACACGGCCCAGACUCCUACGGGAGGCAGCAGUAGGGAAUCUUCCGCAAUGGACGAAAGUCUGACGGAGCAACGCCGCGUGAGUGAUGAAGGCUUUCGGGUCGUAAAACUCUGUUGUUAGGGAAGAACAAGUACAAGAGUAACUGCUCGUACCUUGACGGUACCUAACCAGAAAGCCACGGCUAACUACGUGCCAGCAGCCGCGGUAAUACGUAGGUGGCAAGCGUUAUCCGGAAUUAUUGGGCGUAAAGCGCGCGCAGGCGGUUUCUUAAGUCUGAUGUGAAAGCCCACGGCUCAACCGUGGAGGGUCAUUGGAAACUGGGGAACUUGAGUGCAGAAGAGAAAAGCGGAAUUCCACGUGUAGCGGUGAAAUGCGUAGAGAUGUGGAG